AUGCUAGAUUUAAAACACCUGAGGAUGCUCAAGCAGUAAUAAAUUCAUAUGCAGAAAUUAAAAAGAAACACUACUGGAAACUCGAGAUCCUUUCUGGUGAUCACGAGCAAAGGUAUUGGCAGAAAAUUCUGGUUGAUAGACAGGCCAAACUUAAUCAGCCUCGGGAAAAGAAAAGGGGCACUGAAAAGUUAAUCACCAAAGCUGAAAAGAUUAGACUGGAAAAGACUCAACAAGCAAGUAAACACAUUAGAUUUUCUGAAUAUGAUUGACAAAAGAGUUCACCUCUUAAUGCUUCACUGGAUACCUAGCUGUUCUUAGGAAAUUCACUUUUGUCAUGAUAGUACUGCAAAAUGAAUGUUUUUUUAAAACUUACAUUUAUUAAAAGAAUUACCUUUGUUCUUCAACUUGUAAAUAAGACUUUUUUCCUAAAGAUAAAUAAGUACAUUGUAUACCACAAUUUUUCAUUAAACACUUUGUUAAAAUUAUAUCAUAUGUCAACCUUAAGUGAUUUAGUAAAUAAAUGUGUUUUGAACAUUA